GUGUGUCUGUUUGUGUGUUAGUGUAUGUGUGUGUUAGUGUAUGUAUGUGUGUGUUUAUGUGUGUUAGUGUGUGUGUUUGUGUGUUAGUGUAUGUGUGUUAGUGUGUGUGUUUGUGUGUGUGUGUUAGUGUAUGUGUGUGUUAGUGUAUGUGUGUGUGUGUCAGCAUGUCUGUGUGUGUGUCAGUAUGUCUGUGUGUGUCAGUAUGUCUGUCUGUCUGUGUGUCAGUAUAUAUGUGUGUGUAUAUCUGUGUGUGUCAGUAUGUGUAUGUGUCCGUAUGUCUGUCAGUGCAUCAGUAUGUCUGUUAGUGCAUGUGUAUGCAUGUGUCAGUAUAUCUGUCUGUGUG